GUGCUUGCUUCGGCAGCACAUAUGCUAAAAGUGGAACGAUACAGAGAAGAUUAGCAUGGCCCCCUGCACAAGGAUGACAUGUAAGUUCAUGAAGUGUUCCAUAUUUUU
rnacentral:snRNA from 1 species